rnacentral:rRNA from 1 species
UGGGGAAUAUUGCGCAAUGGGGGGAACCCUGACGCAGCCAUGCCGCGUGAAUGAAGAAGGCCUUCGGGUUGUAAAGUUCUUUCGGUAUUGAGGAAGGUUGAUGUGUUAAUAGCACAUCAAAUUGACGUUAAAUACAGAAGAAGCACCGGCUAACUCCGUGCCAGCAGCCGCGGUAAUACGGAGGGUGCGAGCGUUAAUCGGAAUAACUGGGCGUAAAGGGCACGCAGGCGGUUAUUUAAGUGAGGUGUGAAAGCCCCGGGCUUAACCUGGGAAUUGCAUUUCAGACUGGGUAACUAGAGUACUUUAGGGAGGGGUAGAAUUCCACGUGUAGCGGUGAAAUGCGUAGAGAUGUGGAGGAAUACCGAAGGCGAAGGCAGCCCCUUGGGAAUGUACUGACGCUCAUGUGCGAAAGCGUGGGGAGCAAGCAGGAUUAGAUACCCUGGUAGUCCACGCUGUAAACGCUGUCGAUUUGGGGGUUGGGGUUUAACUCUGGCGCCCGUAGCUAACGUGAUAAAUCGACCGCCUGGGGAGUACGGCCGCAAGGUUA